GUAAAUCAUUCAUCAAUGUAAUAAAAUGCUCAAAUACUAAUUGCAGAUGCAGAUAAAUUAAAGUAAACUGUUCAUGUUCCAACUCGCUCUAGAAUGGAUUUCCGCCAACACUUUGGAAAUCUGAAAUCGGUCUUAAACCACCUGAAGUGCUUCGCUGAACUCACAGAGCUGAACUUGAAUGAGAAAAUAAACAGAAUACGCUCAAAAAUCUUAUUAAUCCUAACCUCGAAAAUAUUUACGGUUCAAGCACAGACCAGACCGUUCAACAUAAUCAAAACAACUCGUACCAACAUACCCAAGCCUAAUUCCUCUAGCCCAAUUUUAAAUUGAGAAAUAAUUUCCUUCAAAUUAGCAAUUAACCGUAAAGUAACAAUCUACUAGUUUUUCGUAUAUUUUUAAAGCAAGUCCAUUCGAAAAAGGUUUCUUAGUGGUGUUUUUUGCCGAUUUUGACCACUUUUCUCUCCUUGAGAUUCCCUACCCUUUUCAUCUGACCAGAAUCUGACUUUAUUUUUGUUGGUUAGGAAGUUUACAUAAAAACGAAUUUACAUAAUGCAUGUUUACUGUUUACGAAUUACAUGUUUAGCUUAAUCUACAUACAUGCUUUAGAAAUGAUUCAUACUGCACAAAUGGUAGGAAAAUCAGGUACACAUACAUAUGUUUAGCAACCAAUAUCUUUAGUAAAUAUUAUUGAUAAAAUGCGUAGCAUCGUCUGUAAUGUUUAUGUUUCAUCGACGUCUUUGCCAGCUGAAUAACUUUCACAUCAUGUUAAUUCUUUUGCUAACUACCGGGUUUAUAAUCCAACUGAAAAUCUUGUAUCAUAACUACCAGAGAAACAUCAGACUUGUUGAGUACAGGGAAAGGAUUAACGAAUUAUCAGAUAAUAUGAAGUCAAUGAACAGAAUAGCGAAUACAACAUCAGAAUUGAUGAAGAAGCUACUAGCGUCUCUCAGCUCAAAAAGACUUAAUCAGCAAAUUACCAUAAGCUGACAGUAUAUGUAUAGAUUCAAAUAUCGGAGUAGGCAAACCCAACACAGAGAAUAUUGCCUUGCUUUACAGCAGAUUCGAGUUUUUUCAAUACCAAAAACAUUGAUAAAAAUAAUAAAAAAAUAAAAGUUUGAUUUGCAUAGUCAAUUUUGCCUAUUGCUGGUAAUAUUUCAGACACGGAAAGAUACAGAAAACUUUGCAUCAAAAAUUAACUUUUUGAAGUUAUAUAGAGACAAUUGUGAUAAUGGUCAGUCCUCAGUACAAUCGUUCUAACCAAAUAAUUAUAUAACGUUUGCUUUAGUGUAGGGGAGAGCUUACGGGAAAGUGCCAAUUCUAUUCAAUUCAAAUUCAAUUAAUCAAAUAUUUUAUUACUUCAGGCAAAAAAUUAUUAUCUAAUAGUUAAAUUGGUGCAACUUAGGUCCAUUGGCCAGUUUAGAUAUAUCUUUUAUAUUUUCAAUGAAAAUAUUUUAUUAAUAGAACUACUAUAGUCAUGUAUGAGUUAAUUUUCGGAGACUUAGCAGUGAUCUUUGUUUAAGGAUCUGUAAGUAAUUUUUAAUUGUACUUUGACUAAUAUGAAAAAUAAUUGCGCAUUAAAAAGGUUCUAUCUCUCUGUUAUAAAAUUCUUCUUUAAAACGCAGAUAUCGAGUGUUAUAUUUGUUACGUGUGAUAUUCCUCUUUGUAUAAUUACGAAUCAAGCUUUAAAAUUUGUUGGGCAGUGUGCACAUGUUCACAAACGUUUUAAAUACAUUCGUAAAUGCCUAUAGUUAGUGUUGUAAUGGCAACGAUUAUUUAACAUGAUGUUUUAAAGUCUAUAUUUGUACUUAUUUUGAGAUCUGUUAAUAUUUUGUAGAAUUUAUCGCAGUUUUAACCUGUUAGUUGGUAAAUAAAAGUAUUUUAUUCACAAAAAAA